ACAGGGGUAGCAAUACCUGCUGACGACCGGCAAACGGGUGCGGAACACGUACGCAACUUCCCCAAAACUGGUGAAUAGCCCUCCGAAAGGAGGAUUAAUACACCGUAAGAUAAUGAGAUGGCAUCAUUUUAUUAUUAUAGCUCCGGCGGUUUUGGAUGGGCGUGCGCCUGAUUAGGUAGUUGGCGGGGUAACGGCCCACCAAGCCUGCGAUCAGUAACUGGUGUGAGAGCACGACCAGUCACACGGGCACUGAGACACGGGCCCGACUCCUACGGGAGGCAGCAGUAAGGAAUAUUGGUCAAUGGACGCAAGUCUGAACCAGCCAUGCCGCGUGAAGGAUGACGGCCCUCUGGGUUGUAAACUUCUUUUAUAGGGGACGAAAAAAGGAAAUUCUUUUCCACUUGACGGUACCCUACGAAUAAGCACCGGCUAACUCCGUGCCAGCAGCCGCGGUAAUACGGAGGGUGCAAGCGUUAUCCGGAUUUACUGGGUUUAAAGGGUGCGUAGGUGGGUUGGUAAGUCAGCGGUGAAAUCUCCGAGCUUAACUCGGAAACUGCCAUUGAUACUAUCAAUCUUGAAUUAUCUGGAGGUGAGCGGAAUAUGUCAUGUAGCGGUGAAAUGCUUAGAUAUGACAUAGAACACCAAUUGCGAAGGCAGCUCACUACGGAUCGAUUGACACUGAGGCACGAAAGCGUGGGGAUCAAACAGGAUUAGAUACCCUGGUAGUCCACGCCCUAAACUAUGGAUACUCGACAUUUGUGAUACACAAUAAGUGUCUG
rnacentral:rRNA from 1 species